ACCUACGGGGCGCAGCAGUGAGGAAUAUUGGUCAAUGGGCGAGAGCCUGAACCAGCCAAGUCGCGUGAGGGAAGACGGCCCUACGGGUUGUAAACCUCUUUUGUCAGGGAGCAAGAACGGAUACGUGUAUCCGAGCGAGAGUACCUGAAGAAAAAGCAUCGGCUACCUCCGUGCCAGCAGCCGCGGUAAUACGGAGGAUGCGAGCGUUAUGCGGAUUUAUUGGGUUUAAAGGGUGCGUAGGCGGACUGCCAAGUCAGCGGUAAAAUUGCGGGGGUCAGCCGCGUC
rnacentral:rRNA from 1 species